AAAUUGAAGAGUUUGAUCAUGGCUCAGAUUGAACGCUGGCGGCAGGCCUAACACAUGCAAGUCGAACGGUAACAGGAAUCAGCUUGCUGAUUCGCUGACGAGUGGCGGACGGGUGAGUAAUGUCUGGGAAACUGCCUGAUGGAGGGGGAUAACUACUGGAAACGGUAGCUAAUACCGCAUAAUGUCGCAAGACCAAAGAGGGGGACCUUCGGGCCUCUUGCCAUCGGAUGUGCCCAGAUGGGAUUAGCUAGUAGGUGGGGUAACGGCUCACCUAGGCG
rnacentral:rRNA from 1 species